GGAUGUGAGGGCUAUCUGGCUGUGGCAUCAGUCACCCCAUUGAUCGCUAGUGUUGAUCAGGCUGAUCGGGCUGGCUAGGUGGGUGUCUCCUUCCUCCCUCACUGCUCCAUGUGUGUCUCUCCCAAAGCUGCGUGCUCGGUUGAAGAGGACAACCAUCUGUGAUAGAGGAGGACUGGCCUUCGGUCAAGGGUAUAUGAGUAGCUGUGUUCCCCUGCAAGAAUCUCCAAAUACUCUCUGGAGAGGUUACCUCCAAGUGCUCCUUCCCUGUUUCCAUAUCCGGUUUCAGUUACCAAGUUGAGAGCAGAAUUAGGUCUGAGAUCC
rfam:Gorilla gorilla gorilla genomic chromosome, chr10, whole genome shotgun sequence